rnacentral:rRNA from 1 species
AACGGGUGAGUAAUAUAUCGGAACGUACCUAGUAAUGGGGGAUAACUAUCCGAAAGGAUAGCUAAUACCGCAUACGCCCUGAGGGGGAAAGAGGGGGAUCGCAAGACCUCUCGUUAUUAGAGCGGCCGAUAUCAGAUUAGCUAGUUGGUGAGGUAAAGGCUCACCAAGGCAACGAUCUGUAGCGGGUCUUAGAGGACGAUCCGCCACACUGGAACUGAGACACGGUCCAGACUCCUACGGGAGGCAGCAGUGGGGAAUCUUGGACAAUGGGCGCAAGCCUGAUCCAGCAAUGCCGCGUGCGUGAAGAAGGCCUUCGGGUUGUAAAGCGCUUUUGUUCGGGAGGAAAUCCUAGUGGCUAAUAUCCAUUGGGGAUGACAGUACCGGAAGAAUAAGGACCGGCUAACUACGUGCCAGCAGCCGCGGUAAUACGUAGGGUCCAAGCGUUAAUCGGAAUUACUGGGCGUAAAGGGUGCGCAGGUGGUUGAUUAAGUGUGAUGUGAAAGCCCCGGGCUCAACCUGGGAAUUGCAUUGCAAACUGGUUAACUAGAGUAUGGCAGAGGGGGGUGGAAUUCCGCGUGUAGCAGUGAAAUGCGUAGAGAUGCGGAGGAACACCGAUGGCGAAGGCAACCCCCUGGGCUAAUACUGACACUCAUGCACGAAAGCGUGGGGAGCAAACAGGAUUAGAUACCCUGGUAGUCCACGCCCUAAACGAUGUCUACUAGUUGUGGGGNAAUACGUUUCCUUANUAACGCAGCUANCGCGUGAA